UACGUAGGUGGCAAGCGUUGUCCGGAUUUAUUGGGUUUAAAGGGUGCGUAGGCGGCCCUGUAAGUCAGUGCUGAAAUACCCCGGCUUAACCGGGGGGGUGGCAUUGAUACUGCAGGGCUUGAGUACAGAUGAGGUAGGCGGAAUUGACGGUGUAGCGGUGAAAAUGCAUAGAUAUCGUCAAGAACACCGAUAGCGAAGGCAGCUUACUGGGCUGUAAACUGACGCUGAUGCACGAAAAGUGUGGGGGAUCAAAACAGG
rnacentral:rRNA from 1 species